AGUUUUCUUUCAAAAAUUAAUCAUUAUGCACCUGUCUCUUGGAUUUGGGAAAGAUUAUUUCUGAAAUGAGACAAGGAAAUAAAAUGCCCCCCCCCCCCGCCCACCUUGGGUGUCUUAAGGUCCCAGCUCUCUGUUUCGUUCAAGCAAAGGAUAUGUCUUCUUUAUCUCACCAUGAGAACAACCAGCCCUGUUUUCAAGACCCGGAACACAGGGCCGAUAAUGCUUUGUUCCUUCCCAUUUACAAACAGGUGUCUAAAGGAAAAUGUGGACCAAGAAUUUCUAUUCAUCAGAAUGAUGUAGAGAUUUUACUUUUCAUUCUCCCGGUUAAAAACCUGUGAAUUCUAAGCAGUCUAUCCAGAAGUAAUGAAAAUUAACCUUCAUUAGGAUGAGCUGCUUACGUAGGAAACACUGGAUUUGAAGCCAGUCCUACAAGAACCCACUUGGGUUUUCUUCCUGUCUCUGCACGUUGCGUUCUGGGAAACCAGAGAACGGAUGCGGUGCCGUACAGAUCGCACAGAACGAGAACCUGAAGGCAGUGAAGGUAGACAUAAGGUGUGAACACAACCCCCCCACCCCCAAGCUAGCAGGACCAUAGGAGCUGGAUUUGCAAGCUAGUUCCUUUCCAGAACUCUUGAGGCCAGGAACACCGAAGGGGUUGUGUUCUCCUUCUCAGUGCCAUCUUUCCUUGACGUGGGGCAAAUUCUCAGAUUUGCAAUUGAACAGAUUUGGUUUUCAAUCUUCAGAUUUAGAACUGUAUUAAGUGUGAUUUACAAGUAACGUGACUCAGAAAUACUGCCACGAUAUAGCCACUUAACUGAAAAUCUGUGGUGUUCAGACACAGAUGGUUCCUUUGGAUCUGAGACUUGAUAUCAUAUUCAAGCCAGAUUACCUGUUCUUGUAUCUUUUUUCAGUGAAUCCGAGACCCUGCUGUACUGUCUAGCUGUGUGGGUGAGAUUGGGUGGGCUCUUGGGUGCGUAAAGGAGCAGGACGUACGGGGUGCUCACACUGGAAGGUAUGAAAUGAUUCUGCGUCUUUACCUGCACGAUCCUCAUUUCUCCUUUGUCAAAAUAAAUUUUCAGCCCAUUGACUUAAGUUUAUUUUAUUUCUUUUGUUGUUAGCAUCUGAAAUACACCAUUGCUUUGAGUUUUUUUAGCAAACUGUUUUCUACUUACUCACAUCCGUGUUAGCUCAGCUCUUGCGGAUGGUUCCUCGAGCUUUGCGGUGUUGUGACAAAUACGUGAGUAAUUAAUCUAGUUCUGAGUUUAUGCAUGUGUAAUUAAGAGGAGCACCUGAUGCCGGAUGUAUUUUGGGAGGCAGGCAAAUUUAGACGUCCGUAUGGAACAGCUCAGUGCUGCCGGCCUUUUCUCAGCCCAUAAUCUGCAAGGCACAGUGUGAGAUAUACAGCAGAGAGCACAAAGAUAAGUAAGUCCGUUGCUUAAUCAGGUUCCAGUGCGGUCAGGGGAUUGUGUGUGUGUGUGUGUGUG